rnacentral:rRNA from 1 species
ACACGGAGGAUCCGAGCGUUAUCCGGAUUUAUUGGGUUUAAAGGGAGCGUAGGCGGACGCUUAAGUCAGUUGUGAAAGUUUGCGGCUCAACCGUAAAAUUGCAGUUGAUACUGGGUGUCUUGAGCACAGUAGAGGCAGGCGGCAUUCGGGGUGUAGCGGGGAAAUGCUUAGAUAUCACGAAGAACUCCGAUUGCGAAGGCAGCCUGCUGGACUGUAACUGACGCUGAUGCUCGAAAGUUUGGGUAUCAAACAGGAUUAGAUGCCCUGGUAGUCCACACAGUAAACGAUGAAUACUCGCUGUUUGCGAUAUGCAGUAAGCGGCCAAGCGAAAGCGUUAAGUAUUCCACCUGGGGAGUACGCCGGCAACGGUGAAACUCAAAUGAAUUGACGUGG